UACGGAGGGUGCAAGCGUUGUCCGGAUUUAUUGGGUUUAAAGGGUGCGUAGGCGGCCAAUUAAGUCAGCGGUGAAAGUUUCCGGCUCAACCGGGAGACUGCCGUUGAUACUGGUUGGCUUGAGUUAUGGAGGGGUACAUGGAAUUUAUGGUGUAGCGGUGAAAUGCAUAGAUACCAUAAGGAACACCGAUAGCGAAGGCAUUGUACUGGCCAUAAACUGACGCUGAGGCACGAAAGCGUGGGUAGCGAACAGG
rnacentral:misc_RNA from 1 species